GACGAACGCUGGCGGCGUGCCUAACACAUGCAAGUCGAGCGAGUGAAUCUCCUUCGGGAGUGAAGCUAGCGGCGGACGGGUGAGUAACACGUGGGCAACCUGCCUCAUAGAGGGGAAUAGCCUCUCGAAAGGAAGAUUAAUACCGCGUAAGAUUGUAGCUUCGCAUGAAGUAGCAAUUAAAGGAGCAAUCCGCUAUGAGAUGGGCCCGCGGCGCAUUAGCUAGUUGGUGAGGUAACGGCUCACAAAGUAGACGAGGAGUAGCCGACCUGAGAGGGUGAUCGGCCACAUUGGGACUGAGACACGGCCCAGACUCCUACGGGAGGCAGCAGUGGGGAAUAGUGCACAAUGGGGGAAACCCUGAUGCAGCAACGCCGCGUGAGUGAUGACGGCCUUCGGGUUGUAAAGCUCUGUCUUCAGGGACGAUAAUGACGGUACCUGAGGAGGAAGCCACGGCUAACUACGUGCCAGCAGCCGCCGUAA
rnacentral:rRNA from 1 species